CCUCACCGAGCAAGUGGGUAGCGGGGAAGGGACCAGAGGCUGCAGGCCUGCGAGUGAGAACGGUCUCUACGUGCCCAUCCAGGGAGCUGAACUUCUUCCUUCAGCAGAACCUGAACACCCAAGCGUUUCCCUCCAAGAUGAGGAAACCGAGAUCCAGAGAAGAUCCAAGACCACGCUGUGGGCUGCAGGUUCAGCCAAGCCUGAGAGCCUGUGGCAGGGUUUAACAUAAAGAGGACAUGAGGGGCACCUGGGUGGCUCAGUGGAUUAAAGCCUCUGCCUUCUGCUCGGGUCAUGAUCCCAGGGUCCUGGGAUAGAACCCCGCAU